AACGAACGCUGGCGGCAUGCCUAACACAUGCAAGUCGAACGAGACCUUCGGGUCUAGUGGCGCACGGGUGCGUAACGCGUGGGAACCUGCCUUUAGGUUCGGAAUAACUCAGAGAAAUUUGAGCUAAUACCGGAUGACGUCUUCGGACCAAAGAUUUAUCGCCUUUAGAUGGGCCCGCGUUGGAUUAGCUAGUUGGUGGGGUAAAGGCCUACCAAGGCGACGAUCCAUAGCUGGUCUGAGAGGAUGAUCAGCCACACUGGGACUGAGACACGGCCCAGACUCGUACGGGAGGCAGCAGUGGGGAAUAUUGGACAAUGGGCGAAAGCCUGAUCCAGCAAUGCCGCGUGAGUGAUGAAGGCCUUAGGGUUGUAAAGCUCUUUUACCCGAGAUGAUAAUGACAGUAUCGGGAGAAUAAGCUCCGGCUAACUCCGUG
rnacentral:rRNA from 1 species